UUAGACCGUCGUGAGACAGGUU
rnacentral:ncRNA from 2 species